rnacentral:rRNA from 1 species
UACGUAGGGGGCAAGCGUUGUCCGGAAUCAUUGGGCGUAAAGCGCGUGUAGGCGGCUUUCUAAGUCAGGGGUGAAAUCCUGGAGCUCAACUCCAGAACUGCCUUUGAUACUGGAGAGCUUGAGUCCGGAAGAGGUGAGUGGAACUCCGAGUGUAGAGGUGAAAUUCGUAGAUAUUCGGAAGAACACCAGUGGCGAAGGCGGCUCACUGGUCCGGUACUGACGCUGAGGUGCGAAAGCGUGGGGAGCAAACAGG